rnacentral:snoRNA from 1 species
GCCUGGGUUUGGGUUGUGGCAGGUCCGAUCCCAUGGGCCUCUCAGUGUCCUGGGCCAAAGCAAACUGUCACCCCGGACCGCAGCCUGGCUUUGCCCUGUGGACGUGAGCCACGGAAGCGGGUUGCACGGUG